rnacentral:lncRNA from 1 species
GCUUUUGAGUUCCGGUGAACGGGGUGCUCUGGCUGGAGCCUAGUGCGAAGUUUCCCCUUCUCCGCCCAUUCCUCAUCCCUCAGGGCACACAGGUCACCUUUCCUCGCCUUCUCGUCCCCACCUCUAAGGCUUGGCCAAAGUUUCUUCAUAAAAGCAAGAAAGAUAACGAAAGAGCCCCCCAUGGGUUAUGGUUUUUGUGGGGCCAGGAAUGCCCAGUUUGAACCUCCAGUUCCGCCACCUGUAGCCGAGUGAAAGAGGCUGGGUUAUUCAGACACCCCAAGCCUCAGUUUCCCCACUUGUUGUGAGGCUUGAGUGUGCUAACACAUCAAGGCAACCCAGAACAGCGCUUGGCAGAGACUCGCAGUUUAUCACUGUGAACUGUCGUUAUUGGAAAGUGGGUGGAGUCGGGUUUGGAUUCCCCCAGGAGCAGAGACAGAAACAAAAGGAUUCAAGGGAGACAUGAGACAUCAAUCAAUACAUGUAAGAAGUACACUGGUUCCAUCCAGAAAGA